UUUGUAUGGAAGCCUUGGAGGGUCACUUUUGAGUUUCGACUUACGGAUAUUUUACUUUUGACUUUCGACUUUUGACUUUUGAUUUGUGACUUACGUCUUAUGACUUUUGGCUAACCCAUUUUACACGUGCCCUAGAAGCUGAAAGCAGCAACUUUGGUUUCAGACACAACUACUGGACAAAAGGUAACGAGGAUGAAAACCUUGAUGUUGAUCUGUGUCUUCAUCAUUAUACUGUUCAGCAUUACCAAAGCUACCGUGCCAAGAUACCUACCCUCAACAUCUAUAACAAACAAAAC